AUUGCAUAAGCUCAAAAAAAAGUUAAGCCAAACGGAUCCUAAAAUACAUUCAUAUAUGAAGCCAGAGGGAGUACGUGAAAGCCCAAAUCACCGCCUUGAACGUUUUUUGGAAAUAGGCAAGAGCUUUCAUCCUACCCAUACAUAAUCCUUAUGAUGAUCACAACUCUUUUUCAAAGUCAAAGAAAUACUACAAUUUAAUAAUUUUCAAUUUUUUAACAAGUCCCAAGAAAUUUCCCUCACUUUUCUCAACGUUCACAACACCACCAACCAACUCCACCCAAAAUCCUUAUCAUAUGACAGUUUGGUAAUUCAAAAACUCAGCUAUAAAUAGAGCUGAAUCUCACUCCAAUUCAAACAUCCAACAAACACAUAAACAUAUCUAAAAAUUCAUUUAUAUCAUGGCACUUUCAAAGAAUUUUAUCAUCGUAUUUGGAAUUGUCUUUACUUUUCUCCUCUACAUUUCAUCAAAUGCAACGUUAGCUUCACGUCAAUUGUAUCAAUUGUCUGAGGAAAAAAGAAAUUGCAAUACUGCUACUCAAACUCAAGUUGUCGGAUGUGGCAGCCCGACUAGAUCGUCGCCUGUCAAGAGUUCGCCGCAUUCCAAGCUUCCGCCGAGCGAGCGUACCCCUUGCAAAGGAUGUCAGUAAAACGAUUCGAAGCUUUCGUUAACUUGAUAUGGAUGAUGCUUGAAAUGUGAAGAUGAAUGAAGCUUCUAUCUAUAUAUGUUACUAAUUUAUUAAGACGUACGUACUAAUAAUAUGGCAUGCAAUGUAACAUGCUAGCUUUCUGAAUAAUUAGUGUAUCUUAUUGAAAAGAUUGCGAUUGCAUAAUUUAGUAUCUUAUUGAAAUGAUUGGCCUUUUCUAUUUCA